AUCCCUGUAGGCAAAGCCUCCCAGGGAGUGUUUCAGUUUCUCAGGAGCUGGUCUCAGCAGGAAGUCAGAAGGGAAGGAAAGUCUUUCUCUGUUCUAGAGGAGCUCCCCAAGGUUCCAUUCUGAAGCCAAAGUAAUGAGGUCAUUGAAGGAACUACUAUGAGAAAAUGGAUUGGAGCCAUCUCCCAGGAGAUGGGGAGUGAACACUGUGGUCCAGAGAAUCAGGGGGUUCCCUGAUUACACAAGCAUCUGUGUCUCCCUGCCAGGACUGGGCCUGGGACUGUGCUCAGAGUUGAUGGGAAAAACUGGUCCAGUGAAGAGGUUGGCCCACCAGCUUCCCCACAUCAUUCCUGGCUGCUGCAAACUUCAUCUGUUUUCCAAAAGGCAGGCAGGCAGUUGUUCCUGGGAGGCCUUGGGGCCAGAGAAUGAAGCAAGGUUAAGAUGUGGGAAUACAGCAAACCAAAAGGGAGGAAAGAGGAAAAAAUCCAAAUGAGGCAUAGUUAGGAAAGAAAACUUUUCAUCGGAAGCUCCCCAGCAGGUCCUUUGGCACUGGGGAACAAUGCUCCUUUGCCUUAAUUAUUCCUCUGUAAAGCUUCCCGUUGUGAGAGCGGAUUGGACAACAUAUGCUUUAUUUUUCUUGGGGUUAAAAAUCUGCUGCCACCCCAGCUUCGGGUUCAUAAAAGAGCUCUCCCCAUUGCUUUUUACCCACUAGAAACUAGUGCCUGCUGCGGGCAAGGUCUGUGUGUGUGUGUUUUUGCUUUCACAAAGAGCCAGCUUGAUUAGUCUUAUUUAAAAUAUGAUUGUUCCUUGA